CACGGAUAACAUACCGAAAGGUAUGCUAAUACGGGAUAAUAUAUUUGGGAGGCAUCUCUUAAAUAUCAAAGGUGAGCCAGUACAGGAUGGACCCGCGUCUGAUUAGCUAGUUGGUAAGGUAACGGCUUACCAAGGCGACGAUCAGUAGCCGACCUGAGAGGGUGAUCGGCCACAUUGGAACUGAGACACGGUCCAAACUCCUACGGGAGGCAGCAGUGGGGAAUAUUGCACAAUGGGCGAAAGCCUGAUGCAGCAACGCCGCGUGAGUGAUGAAGGCCUUCGUGUCGUAAAACUCUGUCCUCAAGGAAGAUAAUGACGGUACUUGAGGAGGAAGCCCCGGCUAACUACGUGCCAGCAGCCGCGGUAAUACGUAGGGGGCUAGCGUUAUCCGGAUUUACUGGGCGUAAAGGGUGCGUAGGCGGUCUUUCAAGUCAGGAGUGAAAGGCUACGGCUCAACCGUAGUAAGCUCUUGAAACUGGGAGACUUGAGUGCAGGAGAGGAGAGUGGAAUUCCUAGUGUAGCGGUGAAAUGCGUAGAUAUUAGGAGGAACACCAGUUGCGAAGGCGGCUCUCUGGACUGUAACUGACGCUGAGGCACGAAAGCGUGGGGAGCAAACAGGAUUAGAUACCCUGGUAGUCCACGCUGUAAACGAUGAGUACUAGGUGUCGGGGGUUACCCCCCUCGGUGCCGCAGCUA
rnacentral:rRNA from 1 species